AUACGUAUGUCGCAAGCGUUAUCCGGAUUUAUUGGGCGUAAAGCGCGUCUAGGCGGCUUAGUAAGUCUGAUGUGAAAAUGUGGGGCUCAACCCCGUAUUGCGUUGGAAACUGCUAAACUAGAGUACUGGAGAGGUAGGCGGAACUACAAGUGUAGAGGUGAAAUUCGUAGAUAUUUGUAGGAAUGCCGAUGGGGAAGCUAUCCGCACUGAAAGAGACGGUCAAUCAAGCGCGAAAGCGUGGAUAGCAACCAGAAUUAAAUGCCCUGGUAGUGCAGGCCAUAAACGGUGCUAAGUAGGUGUUGGGUGCCGACCGUCAGCGCCCGAGCUAACGCAAUAAGUAAUCCGCCUGGGGAGUACGUCAGCAAGUAUGAAACUUAAAUGAAUUGACGGGG
rnacentral:rRNA from 1 species